UGAUUAUUUUGCGCAUUUGAUGGUGCUACAUAGCCUUCCCGGUUUGGUGCCUUCUUUUGAUAAUUACUUACUUAUCCUUUCUACCAUUUAUUCUAUGUGCCUGGUAUUUCAUUCCUAGUGUUUCAUAUGGUGCUUUAGCAAACAAAGUACUUGUGUACCAAUAGUCUUGUGCGAAUAGCUGGUUAUCUUUAAAAAAAAAAGAGUUCAUUUUUUAACAAACCAUUUUGUUGAUUUUACAAGACUAUGAAUGAAUCUCCCCUUCAGGACCUUGCAGAUGUGAGGUUAAAGUAAUCAGAAUUUUUCUGCUUGGUUAACAAAUUUAAGUGACAUUUGAAAUCCAGAUAAAGUUGAGAAUAGCUUUGAACCUAUAUAGUGAGUAAGUGGCAAUAAGUUUGAAUGGAAAGUUCAUUUAAGAGCUUGGAUUGAAUUCCAGGUAUCUGAAGUUUUUAUAAUUUUAGUUUGAAAAGCUCUUCCCAUUUAUGGUGCUUGUUACAGGCAGUGUAUGUAUACACUAUCUUUAAAUAGUUAUAAUCGGCAGCUUGAAACAUUUGUGGUAAUGGAUUGUCUGGCAUGUGAAUUUAGUGUCGAUUCCAAAUAUUUGGUACACAUUUCAUAGUGCAGCAAAUAUUAACAGAUUGGACAUUUCUAAAGAUAAUAAAAUAUCUUAGACUAGUAGAAAAUUGUAGUGUUUGGUCUCAUUUUAUAUUGUCCAGCAUUAGACAAUAUUGUUAGCAAGUAUGAAAGUUGUAUAGUUUCCUGUAGUUUUAAUACAUAAUCAAUGUGAUUACUGUAAUGGGCUAAGGUGUGACAUUAAGGCCCAUUAAAUUUAGUUUUUUUUCAAUCUUGCCAUUGACUUAACAAUGUUGCAUAGCUUAUAUAAAAAUUUAAGUGGAAGUUUAGCCCAUACAUUUGUUUUAGAAGAGUGGAAUUUGGUAGUUAUAUAUUAUAAAUAAUUUAAAAUAAAUUUGAACACUUACCAAUUAGCCAAUAAUUUUCACUUUAGUUGUGGGAAGCUGCUCCUCCUAGAUGCAAUCCACUGAAGACUCCAAAAGGACAGGGAAACCUCCAGAGUAACAAGGACAACAUCCACCUGUAAAACAAAAAUAAAGUAUAUCAAACAGG